rnacentral:rRNA from 1 species
UACGGAGGGGGGCUAGCGUUGUUCGGAAUUACUGGGCGUAAAGGGCGCGCAGGCGGCUGCUCAAGUCAGGCGUGAAAGGCCUGGGCUCAACCCGGGAAUUGCGCUUGAGACUGGGCUGGCUUGAGUGCGGGAGAGGAUGGUGGAAUUCCCAGUGUAGAGGUGAAAAUUCGUAGAUAUUGGGAAGAACACCGGUGGCGAAGGCGGCCAUCUGGACCGCAACUGACGCUGAGGCGCGAAAGCGUGGGGAGCAAACAGG